rnacentral:rRNA from 1 species
UACGAAGGGGGCUAGCGCUGUUCGGAAUCACUGGGCGUAAAGCGCUCGUAGGCGGAUCUUUAAGUCAGGGGUGAAAUCCCGAGGCUCAACCUCGGAACUGCCUUUGAUACUGGGGAUCUCGAGUCCGGGAGAGGUGAGUGGAACUGCGAGUGUAGAGGUGAAAUUCGUAGAUAUUCGCAAGAACACCAGUGGCGAAGGCGGCUCACUGGCCCGGUACUGACGCUGAGGAGCGAAAGCGUGGGGAGCAAACAGG